rnacentral:rRNA from 1 species
UACAGAGGGUGCGAGCGUUAAUCGGAAUUACUGGGCGUAAAGCGCACGUAGGUGGCGACGUAAGUCGGGUGUGAAAGCCCCGGGCUCAACCUGGGAAUUGCAUUCGAGACUGCAUUGCUGGAGUACGGAAGAGGAAGGCGGAAUUCCCGGUGUAGCGGUGAAAUGCGUAGAUAUCAGGAGGAACAUCAGUGGCGAAGGCGGCCUUCUGGUCCAGUACUGACACUCAAGUGCGAAAGCGUGGGGAGCAAACAGG